rnacentral:lncRNA from 1 species
UGAAUGAAUAAUUUUUUAUUAAUUUUCUAAACUGGAAUUGAUUUUAUUAAUAGAAAUAUUUAAUUAAUUUCAUAUUUAUUUUUUUAUGACUUAGAAAUCCACCUAAUAGUAUUACAAAUCUUAAAAAAUAUUUCUUUGUCUUUGUAUUUUUGUAUCAUAAAAAUUUUUGCAUUUUUUCAUGAAAGAUUUAAGUUUAUUAAUCAGCAUGAUGACUGAUAAAUCUAAAACAACAUGUAAAAAUGAUGAAAAGUUUAUUGUACAGAUAGACUUCAAACUUAUGAUGGGAUUCAGUGUUCAAAGUAUCCUGGUCAUAAGUCAGUGUGAUUGUAAGUCAGAACAAUUAUAUUUAUUGAUUACCUCCCACUAUUCAUUAUUGUACAAUAUAAUAUUGUAUUAAAGUAAUCAAACACAAAUUGCGUACUUUAAUACAUCACAGAGCUUAAUUAUUGCUUCAUGUUCACGAGUCUGAGAGAUCAUAAUUUGAAGACUAUCUAUAUUCAGAU